CUGUGUGUCAAACUGCAGCUCAGGAGCCACUGCAGCCCGUGGUGAGCGUGUACCCAGCAGCAUCCAGAGCCCCCCUGGAGGGGAAGACCUCCCUGCUGUGUCUGGCCUCCAACAUGUUUCCUCCUGAGGUGCGCUUCUCCUGGAACAAGGAGCUGAGCCCUGCUAAAGGAAAGGAGCAGCUGGAGCUCAGAGAGCCGGGACGCAGCGCCUCCAUCUUGCUGCUGGAUCCAGAGGACAGCACGUCUACAUACAGCUGCUCCGUCCAACACGAGGGGGGACAAGUGGACGCUGGAGUCAACAUAGAGCUUCCAGCUGCAGCAGCCUCCUGUCCUCCAGAGACAGAGUCCAGGUCCUUCCAGUCCAGGUCCUUCCAGUCCAGGUCCUUCCA